GGGGGGCGGGGGCGGGGGGGCUGGGGGGGGGGGGGCGAGCGGGGAGGCGAGGAGGGUGCUGCUCGGACGUUAACGGCGGACGGGUGAGUAACACGUGGGUGACCUACCUAUCAGACUGGGAUAGCCUCGGGCCACCGGAGCUCAUGCCGGAUACUCUAUUUAACCGCAUGGUUCCAUAAUUCCAGACGGGUUUGCUGUCCCUGAUACCUGUGUCCGCGCCGCAUUAGCUAGUUGGUCAGGUAACGGCUUACCAAGGCAACUCUGCGUAGCCGACCUGAGCGGGUGAUCGGCCCCACUGGAACUGAGACACGGUCCAGACUCCUACGGGAGGCAGCAGUAGGGAAUCUUCCGCAAUGGGCGAAAGCCUGACGGAGCAACGCCGCGUGAGUGAUGAAGGUCUUCGGAUCGUAAAACUCUGUUAUUAGGGAAGAACAAAUGUGUAAGUAACUAUGCACGUCUUGACGGUACCUAAUCAGAAAGCCACGGCUAACUACGUG
rnacentral:rRNA from 1 species